GAUGAAGAACGUAGCGAAAUGCGAUAAGUAGUGUGAAUUGCAGAAUUCAGUGAAUCAUCGAAUCUUUGAACGCACAUUGCGCCCCUUGGUAUCCCGAGGGGCAUGCCUGUUCGAGCGUCAUUUCACCACUCAAGCCUGGCUUGGUGUUGGGCGACGUCCCCUUUGGGGACGCGCCUCGAAACGCUCGGCGGCGUGGCACCGGCUUUAAGCGUAGCAGAAUCUUUCGCUUUGGAAGUCGGGGCCCCGGCUGCCGGAAGACCUACUCGCAAGGUUGACCUCGGAUCAGGCAGGGAUACCCGCUGAACUUAAGCAUAUCAAUAAGCGGAGGA
rnacentral:misc_RNA from 1 species